AUACGUAGGGUGCGAGCGUUGUCCGGAAUUACUGGGCGUAAAGAGCUCGUAGGUGGUUUGUCGCGUCGUCUGUGAAAUUCCGGGGCUUAACUCCGGGCGUGCAGGCGAUACGGGCAUAACUUGAGUACUGUAGGGGAGACUGGAAUUCCUGGUGUAGCGGUGAAAUGCGCAGAUAUCAGGAGGAACACCGGUGGCGAAGGCGGUUUUCGGGGCAGAAACUGACGCGGAGGAGCGAAGGCAUGGGUAGCGAACAGGAUUAGAUACCCUGUUAUUCCAUGCCGUAACCGGUGGGCGCUAGGUGUAGGGGUCUUCCACGACUUCUGUGCCGUAGCUAACGCAUUAAGCGCCCCGCCUGGGGAGUACGGCCGCAAGGCUAAAACUCAAAUGAAUUGACGGGG
rnacentral:rRNA from 1 species